rnacentral:rRNA from 1 species
UAGGGAAUUUUCCGCAAUGGGCGAAAGCCUGACGGAGCAACGCCGCGUGAGAGAAGACGGCCUUCGGGUUGUAAAUCUCUGUUUUUAGGGAAGAAACAAAUGACGGUACCUAAAGAGAAAGCCCCGGCUAACUACGUGCCAGCAGCCGCGGUAAUACGUAGGGGGCAAGCGUUGUCCGGAAUUAUUGGGCGUAAAGAGCGUGUAGGCGGUAAAUUAAGUUGGAUGUAAAAGGCAUGGGCUCAACCGAUGUAAGCAUCCAAAACUGAUAUACUUGAGUGCAGGAGAGGAAAGUGGAAUUCCCGGUGUAGCGGUGGAAUGCGUAGAGAUCGGGAGGAACACCAGUGGCGAAGGCGACUUUCUGGCCAGCAACUGACGCUGAGACGCGAAAGCGUGGGUAGCAAACAGG